rnacentral:rRNA from 1 species
UACGUAGGGGGCUAGCGUUGUCCGGAUUUAUUGGGCGUAAAGAGCGUGUAGGCGGCCAGGUAGGUCUGCUGUGAAAACUCGAGGCUCAACCUCGAGACGUCGGCGGAAACCAUCUGGCUAGAGUCCGGAAGAGGAGAGUGGAAUUCCCGGUGUAGUGGUGGAAUGCGUAGAUAUCGGGAGGAACACCAGUGGCGAAGGCGGUUGCCUGGAGCUUUGCUGACGCUGAUGCGCGAAAGCGUGGGGAGCGAUCCGG